AUUGGGCACAGUGAUGCAUGCCUGUAAUCCCAGCGACUUGGGAGGCUGAGGCAGGAGGGUCCCAGGUUCAAAGCCAGCCUCAGCAACUUAGCAACUCAGAGAAACCCUGUCUCUA
rnacentral:sRNA from 1 species